AGUGAACGCUGGCGGUAGGCCUAACACAUGCAAGUCGAACGGCAGCACAGUAAGAGCUUGCUCUUACGGGUGGCGAGUGGCGGACGGGUGAGGAGUACAUCGGAAUCUACUUUUUCGUGGGGGAUAACGUAGGGAAACUUACGCUAAUACCGCAUACGACCUACGGGUGAAAGCAGGGGAUCUUCGGACCUUGCGCGAUUGAAUGAGCCGAUGUCGGAUUAGCUAGUUGGCGGGGUAAAGGCCCACCAAGGCGACGAUCCGUAGCUGGUCUGAGAGGAUGAUCAGCCACACUGGAACUGAGACACGGUCCAGACUCCUACGGGAGGCAGCAGUGGGGAAUAUUGGACAAUGGGCGCAAGCCUGAUCCAGCCAUACCGCGUGGGUGAAGAAGGCCUUCGGGUUGUAAAGCCCUUUUGUUGGGAAAGAAAAGCAGCAGGUUAAUACCCCGCUGUUCGGACGGUACCCAAAGAAUAAGCACCGGCUAACUUCGU
rnacentral:rRNA from 1 species